GCUCAGUGAAGGAACAUUUCAUUUGAUGCUGAAUUCAACCAUUUCAUUUAAUAGUUAAGGAAACUGACACCAGAGAGGCAUGAAAUGCCUCCAGCCUAGAGAUAUGUAAACUGCACUUUGGAAGAUGUCAGUGACCUGCUAAUCACAGAGCUGAUUCUGAGAAAUGUGUGCUCUGCUGGAGAAGGAUUCAGGAAGCCAGCUGUCUUGAGAUUUCUUACCAGUUGUUAGCCUCUGCAUAAUUAAGUAUCAGGUAUGUCCCACUCUCUGCCCUCUGAACUAAUUGCCUGUGUGCUCCCUCCUCUCCUUCCUAUGGGCACUGCCCGAUUCUUCAGUCUCAUCAUCUUUCUGGACUCUGAACUUAGCACCACUGUGUUCUAACACUGGUCUCCCAUAUCUGUGCAGCAUUUUGCAGUACAAAGUGUUUUCACAUUUGGGGCUUCAUUGUCCAGUGUGGCAGACAGUGCAGUACUCAU